GACGAACGCUGGCGGCGUGCCUAAUACAUGCAAGUAGAACGCUGAAGGAGGAGCUUGCUUCUCUGGAUGAGUUGCGAACGGGUGAGUAACGCGUAGGUAACCUGCCUGGUAGCGGGGGAUAACUAUUGGAAACGAUAGCUAAUACCGCAUAAGAGUAGAUGUCGCAUGACAUUUGCUUAAAAGGUGCAAUUGCAUCACUACCAGAUGGACCUGCGUUGUAUUAGCUAGUUGGUGAGGUAACGGCUCACCAAGGCAACGAUACAUAGCCGACCUGAGAGGGUGAGCGGACACGCUGGGACAGAGACACGGCACAGACUCCUACGCGACGCAGCAGUAGGGAAUCCUCGGCAAUGGACGGAAGUCUGACCGAGCAACGCCGCGUGAGUGAAGAAGGGUUUCGGAUCGUAAAGAUCUGUUGUACGAGAAGAACGAGUGUGAGAGUGGAAAGUUCACACUGUGACGGUAUCUUACCAGAAAGGGACGGCUAACUACGUG
rnacentral:rRNA from 1 species